rnacentral:rRNA from 1 species
UACGAAGGGGGCUAGCGUUGCUCGGAAUCACUGGGCGUAAAGGGUGCGUAGGCGGGUUUUUAAGUCAGAGGGGAAAUCCUGGAGCUCAACUCCAGAACUGCCUUUGAUACUGGAAGUCUUGAGUAUGGGAGAGGUGAGUGGAACUGCGAGUGUAGAGGUGAAAUUCGUAGAUAUUCGCAAGAACACCAGUGGCGAAGGCGGCUCACUGGCCCAUUACUGACGCUGAGGCACGAAAGCGUGGGGAGCAAACAGG